rnacentral:rRNA from 1 species
UACCAGCACCCCGAGUGGUCGGGACGUUUAUUGGGCCUAAAGCAUCCGUAGCCGGUUCUACAAGUCUUCCGUUAAAUCCACCUGCUCAACAGAUGGGCUGCGGAAGAUACUAUGGAGCUAGGAGGCGGGAGAGGCAAGCGGUACUCGAUGGGUAGGGGUAAAAUCCGUUGAUCCAUUGAAGACCACCAGUGGCGAAGGCGGCUUGCCAGAACGCGCUCGACGGUGGGGGAUGAAAGCUGGGGGAGCAAACCGG